GGGUCUGUAACUUCCCUGGGUCUGACAUAGGAGUGAUGUAGCUGGCCUGAGUGAGUGUGCAGAUUGUCCUUGUGUGAGAGAGAUCGUUUUGCACUGCCUUCAGGUUGAUGGAAAAUGUCAGUGGUGUAGAGUCAAGGACCUCACUAUCUUUUAAAUCAUUUAUCCUGGAGAAGGGACUCUGAUCCUUGCUUUUCUAGGUAAAUUGUGCUGUAGUGCUUCCAAUACUAAGGCCGCUUGAUUCUUUUCCCAUGAUCACUUUGAGCACUGACAAAUCAUGGUAGAGGUGCCCACCAACCAGUUUGC
rnacentral:lncRNA from 1 species